GUGGGGAAUAUUGGACAAUGGGGGGAACCCUGAUCCAGCCAUGCCGCGUGUGUGAAGAAGGCCUUUUGGUUGUAAAGCACUUUAAGCGAGGAGGAGGCUACCGAGAUUAAUACUCUUGGAUAGUGGACGUUACUCGCAGAAUAAGCACCGGCUAACUCUGUGCCAGCAGCCGCGGUAAUACAGAGGGUGCAAGCGUUAAUCGGAUUUACUGGGCGUAAAGCGCGCGUAGGUGGCCAAUUAAGUCAAAGGUGAAAUCCCCGAGCUUAACUUGGGAAUUGCAUUGUAUACUGGUUGGCUAGAGUAUGGUAGAGGAUGGUAGAAUUCCAGGUGUAGCGGUGACAUGCGGAGAGAUCUGGAGGAAUACCGAUGGCGAAGGCAGCCAUCUGGCCUAAUACUGACACUGAGGUGCGAAAGCAUGGGGAGCAAACAGGAUUAGAUACCCGAGUAGUCC
rnacentral:rRNA from 1 species